rnacentral:rRNA from 1 species
CAUGCUUUACACAUGCAAGUCGGACGGCAGCACAAAGAAGCUUGCUUCUUGGGUGGCGAGUGGCGAACGGGUGAGUAACGCAUCGGAACGUACCGAGUAGUGGGGGAUAACUGUCCGAAAGGAUGGCUAAUACCGCAUACGCUUUGAGAAGGAAAGCGGGGGAUCUUCGGACCUCGCGCUAUUCGAGCGGCCGAUGUCUGAUUAGCUGGUUGGUGGGGUAAAGGCCUACCAAGGCGACGAUCAGUAGCGGGUCUGAGAGGAUGAUCCGCCACACUGGGACUGAGACACGGCCCAGACUCCUACGGGAGGCAGCAGUGGGGAAUUUUGGACAAUGGGCGCAAGCCUGAUCCAGCCAUGCCGCGUGUCUGAAGAAGGCCUUCGGGUUGUAAAGGACUUUUGUCAGGGAAGAAAAGCUUGAGGCUAAUACCCUUGAGUGAUGACGGUACCUGAAGAAUAAGCACCGGCUAACUACGUGCCAGCAGCCGCGGUAAUACGUAGGGUGCGAGCGUUAAUCGGAAUUACUGGGCGUAAAGCGGGCGCAGACGGUUACUUAAGUCAGAUGUGAAAUCCCCGGGCUCAACCUGGGAACUGCGUUUGAAACUGGGUAGCUAGAGUAUGUCAGAGGGGGGUAGAAUUCCACGUGUAGCAGUGAAAUGCGUAGAGAUGUGGAGGAAUACCGAUGGCGAAGGCAGCCCCCUGGGAUAAUACUGACGUUCAUGCCCGAAAGCGUGGGUAGCAAACAGGAUUAGAUACCCU